AGCGAACGCUGGCGGCAGGCCUAACACAUGCAAGUCGAACGAACCUUUCGGGGUUAGUGGCGGACGGGUGAGUAACACGUGGGAACGUGCCUUUAGGUUCGGAAUAACUCAGGGAAACUUGUGCUAAUACCGAAUGUGCUCUUCGGGGGAAAGAUUUAUCGCCUUUAGAGCGGCCCGCGUCUGAUUAGCUAGUUGGUUGAGGUAAUGGCACACCAAGGCGACGAUCAGUAGCUGGUCUGAGAGGAUGAUCAGCCACAUUGGGACUGAGACACGGCCCAAACUCCUACGGGAGGCAGCAGUGGGGAAUCUUGCGCAAUGGGCGAAAGCCUGACGCAGCCAUGCCGCGUGAAUGAUGAAGGUCUUAGGAUUGUAAAAUUCUUUCACCGGGGACGAUAAUGACGGUACCCGGAGAAGAAGCCCCGGCUAACUUCGUG
rnacentral:rRNA from 1 species